ensembl:misc_RNA Metazoa_SRP Metazoan signal recognition particle RNA
GCCGGGCGUGGUGGCCUACGCCUGUAAUCCCAGCACUUUAGGAGGCCGAGGUGGGUGGAUCACCUGAGGUCAGGAGUUCAAGACCAGCCUGACCAACAUGGUGAAACCCCGUUUCUA